rnacentral:rRNA from 1 species
UACGGAGGGUGCGAGCGUUGUCCGGAAUCACUGGGCGUAAAGGGCGCGUAGGCGGCCCUGGCAGUCGGUGGUGAAAGCCCGUGGCUCAACUGCGGGUCGGCCACCGAUACUCCAGGGCUCGAGUUUGGUAGAGGCAGAUGGAAUUCCGGGUGUAGAGGUGAAAAUUCGUAGAUAUUCGGCGGAACACCAGUGGCGAAGGCGGCC